ACUCUAGAGAUAGAGUCUUCCCCUUCGGGGGACAAAGUGACAGGUGGUGCAUGGUUGUCGUCAGCUCGUGUCGUGAGAUGUUGGGUUAAGUCCCGCAACGAGCGCAACUCUUAAGCUUAGUUGCCAGCAUUAAGUUGGGCACUCUAAGUUGACUGCCGGUGACAAACCGGAGGAAGGUGGGGAUGACGUCAAAUCAUCAUGCCCCUUAUGAUUUGGGCUACACACGUGCUACAAUGGACAAUACAAAGGGCAGCUAAACCGCGAGGUCAUGCAAAUCCCAUAAAGUUGUUCUCAGUUCGGAUUGUAGUCUGCAACUCGACUACAUGAAGCUGGAAUCGCUAGUAAUCGUAGAUCAGCAUGCUACGGUGAAUACGUUCCCGGGUCUUGUACACACCGCCCGUCACACCACGAGAGUCUGUAACACCCGAAGCCGGUGGAGUAACCAUUUAUGGAGCUAGCCGUCGAAGGUGGGACAAAUGAUUGGGGUGAAGUCGUAACAAGGUAGCCGUAUCGGAAGGUGC
rnacentral:rRNA from 1 species